AUUGAACGCUGGCGGCAUGCCUUACACAUGCAAGUCGAACGGUAACAGGUCUUCGGAUGCUGACGAGUGGCGAACGGGUGAGUAAUACAUCGGAACGUGCCCAGUCGUGGGGGAUAACGUAGCGAAAGCUACGCUAAUACCGCAUACGAUCUACGGAUGAAAGCGGGGGAUCGCAAGACCUCGCGCGAUUGGAGCGGCUGAUGGCAGAUUGGGUAGUUGGUGGGGUAAAGGCUCACCAAGCCGACGAUCUGUAGCUGGUCUGAGAGGACGACCAGCCACACUGGGACUGAGACACGGCCCAGACUCCUACGGGAGGCAGCAGUGGGGAAUUUUGGACAAUGGGCGCAAGCCUGAUCCAGCCAUUCCGCGUGCAGGAUGAAGGCCUUCGGGUUGUAAACUGCUUUUGUACGGAACGAAACGGCCUUUUCUAAUACAAGAGGCUAAUGACGGUACCGUAAGAAUAAGCACCGGCUAACUACGUGCCAGCCGCCGCGGUAAAAC
rnacentral:rRNA from 1 species